AUGCACGCUGGCGGCGUGCCUAAUACCUGCAAGUCGAGCGAACAGACGAGGAGCUUACUCCUCUGACGUUAGCGGCGGACGGGUGAGUAACACGUGGAUAACCUACCUAUAAGACUGGGAUAACUUCGGGAAACCGGAGCUAAUACCGGAUAACAUGUUGAACCGCAUGGUUCAACAGUGAAAGACGGUCUUGCUGUCACUUAUAGAUGGAUCCGCGUCGCAUUAGCUAGUUGGUAAGGUAACGGCUUACCAAGGCAACGAUGCGUAGCCGACCUGAGAGGGUGAUCGGCCACACUGGAACUGAGACACGGUCCAGACUCCUACGGGAGGCAGCAGUAGGGAAUCUUCCGCAAUGGGCGAAAGCCUGACGGAGCAACGCCGCGUGAGUGAAGAAGGUCUUCGGAUCGUAAAACUCUGUUAUUAGGGAAGAACAAAUGUGUAAGUAACUAUGCACGUCUUGACGGUACCUAAUCAGAAAGCCACGGCUAACUACGUG
rnacentral:rRNA from 1 species